rnacentral:lncRNA from 1 species
AGCAACUGCUAACAGCGAGGAAGGGUUUUGAAAGGUAAAGGCCAUUAGCUUGGAGGCAGAAGACAGACCUCCCUGACUGCUGAAUUCUUCCCGGCCUGAAAUUGGAGCAUUCCAAGCUCGUCAGAUGAGUCAUAAGCCGCCAAGAGUGUGAGCCUCUGGGCUUCUCCCAGCUUGUAGGAGAAAUGCCUUGCAGGUGAAGAUGGUGAGGAGGUUGGCCCUGUAAUAGCCCAGCCCCUUGAAGAGACAAACGGGGAGGAGCGUCAUUCAGGUGCUUCUCUGGGAAAUGAACCAGGAUAAUGUUCAUCUUAAAAUAACCUACUUCAAUGAACAUUCAGCCAAAAGACAAAAGGAAAGUAUUGCUAGGUAGUGUGCAGCCACUCUGUCAUAGUCUUUUUUUUUUAAAUGAACACAAAUUCCUUGACUGUCUUCUUGCUGAGAGAUGAGGUCUAUGUCCCCCUCCUCCCCCCACUUGAAUCUGGAUGAGCUUGUGACUCACUUAUAACCAAGAAUAUGGAAGAAGUGAUGCUGUGUAAUCUCCUCAUGCCUGGAGCCUGUGAGCCUCUCUCUGAGAAGUCCAGCGCCCCUGAGCCCACCAUGCUGAAGAAGCCACUUGGAGAAGCCCCUGUUGACAGAGAGCCAGCAUCACCUGCCAGUCACCAGAAGUGAGCCAUCUCAGACAUCCAGCCCAGCUGAGCCUUCAACUGACUGCUGCCCCAACCAACAUGUGAACUGCAACUGCAUGAGAGACCCUCAAGUGAGAACCGCCCAGCUGAGCCUUUCCCAAGUUCCUGGCCCACAAAACCCAGAACAAAUUAAAAUGAGUGUUUUAAGCCAUUAAGGAGCAGGGUAAUUUUUUACACAGCAACAGUAACCAGGACAUAUUCCCAAACCUAACUAAGAGGAAAUUUCCUCUUGAUAAAAAUGCUGAUUUUUUUAUUCAUCCUAGACCUUCAUAAGUCAGAAUCACCUGUGGAUAAGGUGUAAGAAUCUGCAUUUUUUUUUUAAGACAAGCUCUCCUACCCCAGGUGAUUCAGAUGCACAGCCAGCUUUGGAAAUUUAAGACCUUGGAAGAGAGUCACAUUGCCUCUCUGAGUCUCAGCUUCCUUGUCUGUGAAUUGGGGAGGAGUGAGGGUUGGUGUGAGUAUCAAAGAAGAAGUUGCAGGUAAAGUCUUUAGGGCCAGCCAGGCGUGGUGGCUCUCACCUGUAAUCCCAGCACUUUGGGAGGCCAAGGCAGGUGGAUCAUGAGGUCAGGAGUUCAGCCUGGCCAAUAUGAUGAAACACUGUCUCUACUCAAAAUACAAAAAAAAUUAGCCAGGCAUGGUGGCAGGCGCCUGUAGUCCCAGCUACUCAGGAGGCUGAGGCAGGAGAAUUGCUUGAGCCCAGGAAGCAGAGGUUGCAGUGAGCCGAGAUCACGCCACUGCACUCCAGCCUGGGCGACAGAGCAAGACUCUGAAAAAAAAAAAAA